GGGCCUCCCGUGCGCAGGGGCCGCGGGGGGGGGCAGCCCCCCCCCCGCGCGAUGCGCUCACACCUUCCAAAAUCCACGCGUUUUACCUUAAAUCAGCCUUUUUCUGCUCUGGGGUCUUCGAGCGGCCCGUUUGCGGGCGCUGCCGCAGGUCCGGAAACACAAAUGGCCCAUGAAGUUGGUUUUCCACCUAGAAAACGUGGUAUCCUGUGGGAACUCUUUGAGGGGGUUUCACGRAAAAAGGAAAAGCCUGACAGACUACGUUUCAUACGAGCCGUUCAGCGUGGCGUGUGGAAAGAAAGACACCGCCCUGUUGAGAGGAAACUGUUUGACCACACAUGGAUGGUAAAUAUAGUUCCCCCGAGCUGCUGGGGAGGCAGCCGCUAA
rnacentral:lncRNA from 1 species